rnacentral:piRNA from 1 species
CUAGUUCCAGGACAGAUAGGCUU